rnacentral:rRNA from 1 species
UACGGAGGGGGCUAGCGUUGUUCGGAAUUACUGGGCGUAAAGCGCACGUAGGCGGACCAGCAAGUUGGGGGUGAAAUCCCGGGGCUCAACCCCGGAACUGCCUUCAAAACUGUUGGUCUGGAGGUCGAGAGAGGUGAGUGGAAUUCCGAGUGUAGAGGUGAAAUUCGUAGAUAUUCGGAGGAACACCAGUGGCGAAGGCGGCUCACUGGCUCGAUACUGACGCUGAGGUGCGAAAGCGUGGGGAGCAAACAGG